ACCUGAGAGCCUGGAGCUCUGCUGGAGGUCCUGGUGUUCUGGACAAGACCUUGGAUUUCCACCAAGCCUUAGCUUCCUGGUUCAGAGAAGAAGAAAGCUUGAAGCCUCCCAGAGAAAGAACUUGAUGACCUCUGGACUGUAAAGCAACCAUCAAAAACUAUAUUAAUUUGUAUACGAGUACAGAAGAAUGGCCACAGCCUUUUGCUAAGAGGUUAUAACAGUCUUUGAGCAUGCGCCCUUGGAGUGCCAUGGGAUGUGGCAUUUGCAUGUUGGUACAAUACCUGCAAUGAUGAUCUGCGGUGCUGAUACUGA